rnacentral:rRNA from 1 species
GAUGAACGCUGGCGGCGUGCCUAACACAUGCAAGUCGAGCGAAGCGCUUAAAUUAGAUUUCUUCGGAAUGGCGAUUUUUGUGACUGAGCGGCGGACGGGUGAGUAACGCGUGGGUAACCUGCCUCAUACAGGGGGAUAACAGUUAGAAAUGACUGCUAAUACCGCAUAAGACCCCAGCUUCGCAUGAAGCGGUGGUAAAAACUCCGGUGGUAUGAGAUGGACCCGCGUCUGAUUAGCUAGUUGGUAAGGUAACGGCUUACCAAGGCGACGAUCAGUAGCCGACCUGAGAGGGUGACCGGCCACAUUGGGACUGAGACACGGCCCAGACUCCUACGGGAGGCAGCAGUGGGGAAUAUUGCACAAUGGGGGAAACCCUGAUGCAGCGACGCCGCGUGAAGGAUGAAGUAUUUCGGUAUGUAAACUUCUAUCAGCAGGGAAGAAAGUGACGGUACCUGACUGAGAAGCCCCGGCUAACUACGUG